CCUACGGGAGGCAGCAGUGGGGAAUAUUGCACAAUGGGGGAAACCCUGAUGCAGCGACGCCGCGUGAGUGAAGAAGUAUUUCGGUACGUAAAGCUCUAUCAGCAGGGAAGAAAAUGACGGUACCUGACUAAGAAGCCCCGGCUAACUACGUGCCAGCAGCCGCGGUAAUACGUAGGGGGCAAGCGUUAUCCGGAUUUACGGGGUGUAAAGGGAGCGUAGACGGCAGCGCAAGUCUGGAGUGAAAUCCCAUGGCUUAACCAUGGAACUGCUUUGGAAACUGUGCAGCUAGAGUGCAGGAGAGGUAAGCGGAAUGCCUAGUGUAGCGGUGAAAUGCGUAGAUAUUAGGAGGAACACCAGUGGCGAAGGCGGCUUACUGGACUGUAACUGACGUUGAGGCUCGAAAGCGUGGGGAGCAAACAGGAUUAGAUACUCUUGUAGUC
rnacentral:rRNA from 1 species